UACGAGAGGUCCAAACGUUAUUCGGAAUUACUGGGCUUACAGAGUUCGUAGGCGGUUCUACAAGUGAGGUGUGAAAGCCCUCGGCUCAACCGAGGAACUGCGCUUCAAACUGUAGAACUAGAGGGAGAUAGAGGUGAGCAGAACUGAUGGUGGAGCGGUGAAAUGCGUUGAUAUCAUCAGGAAUACCGGAGGCGAAGGCGGCUCACUGGGUCUCUUCUGACGCUGAGGAACGAAAGCGUGGGGAGCGAACAGG
rnacentral:rRNA from 1 species